CUGGUCUCACCUCAAGAAUCACCCACGGGCUAACACCCACAAGCAUGUUAUGGAAAGCGGGGCUCAGGACUGACACCCGCUGACAUCAGUGAGAACAAGCGGGGACCUCCGCCCUCAAAGCUGUGAAUAACCAAGCACCCUACCAACUCUCCCUUCCUAAGGCACUGCCCUAUCUAUCUCAGGGCAUUUUCACAGGACUGUCAGAGUAGAUUAUAGACACAGAGUACCUGGAUGUCAGCAAAGCAUCUGACAGUCAGUCAUUCAAAGCAUAGCUGAGUGAGAAGGGAAACUCUGGGCCAAGUGACAGUUCAGUUUGAGGGCCUCAGAGGUAACUGAGCAACCACACCCAGGGGUGCUAACAUCACAGAAGAGCAACACUGGCUUGGAGGGAGGUCCUUGCACAGUGGGACUUUGUAGGUUUAUCCCUGGUAAUGUUUUCAUCGAGAUGUGCUUAAGGGGAUCACAAAUAAUUCACGGCUGAGGGGACAAUUAAUGAGAGGAAUGAACAGAGAUUUGAAAACAUUUCAACAGGCUGGAAUACUGCCAAAACUGACCAAAACAACAACCAAAAAAGAACGCAAAGAAUUAACAGAGAUAAAGCCCUACUUUUAAUGCAGUGUCCGGCUCCCCCCUUGCAGAUGAUGAACGCUACUAAGAUGAGGAUAAGAAAAUGAACCCCAGCCUAGGGACAGGCCACAGAGUGAGUGUCCUGCAGGCCUCCCUCGGACUGCCAUCCCUACAAGAGAACAUCCACUGUGGAGUGGAAACAGAAGGGUGCUCCAGGUCUGAGUGCCACUUGUGGAUCCUGUCACUUCUCGAUGUGAGUCUGGGCAAAUCACGUCACUUCUGUUGAGCUGCAUUUCCCUCACAUGUAAAACAGGGCAACUGAGGAAGAGAACAUGUGGCCUAGGACACUGAUUCCAGCAUGGUGUCUAACACCCAGCGGGCAUCAAAAAAAUGGUAAGUGAAUGAAAGAACGACCUGUGACACAGUGACUGUAAUUCGAAGGUACAACUAGGGCAGAGGAAAGUAGCAGUCAUCUCAGAGGGGAGAAAAACCAAAACCGGAUGGACUGAAGGGGACCUUUCCAAACCAGGCUGAAGACAGAGUGCCACCCACCCCUCAGCAGCCCCUGAAGGCUCAUCAGCCACAGGACACCUGUUCCAUCCUAUUUCUAGGGCUUACAAAACAGAUGGAGUUAAUUAACAAAGACAAUACAUAUAUGCAUCAUCCUGCAGCCAUAAACCAGAAGGAUGUCACAGCUUUAACUUCAAAGCCUCCCAGCAAGCACAGCCUGAGAUAUUUUUAGGCAUCAGCUCCAUUGUUUCAAAGAGGAUAUGGUUUGGUGAAAUAAAAUUGCCAAAAAGUAAAAUUCACAGGACAACCUUGCUAGGAUGAAGAGUGGCAUUUGAUUUUAAAACCAGUUAUGUCUGUCUUAAAGGGUGUGCUUCUGCAAAGCUGAGAAUAAAUUUUGUCAUCAAAUGUUUAAGUGAA